UACAGAGGGUGCAAGCGUUGUUCGGAUUUAUUGGGCGUAAAGCGCGUGUAGGCGGCUUUGCAAGUCGGGUGUGAAAUCCCUCAGCUCAACUGAGGAAGUGCGCCCGAAACUGCAGAGCUUGAGUACCGGAGAGGAUGGUGGAAUUCCCCAAGUAGAGGUGAAAUUCGUAGAUAUGGGGAGGAACACCGGUGGCGAAGGCGACCAUCUGGACGGAUACUGACGCUGAGACGCGAAAGCGUGGGUAGCAAACAGG
rnacentral:rRNA from 1 species